CUUUACAGGUUUAAGUAACUAAUUUUCUACUUCCAUUCCAUAUGAAUUCUUCAGACAAGUUUAGAAAUAUUUGUGACCCGUUAAAGACCGCGACAAAGUACUGCAAACCAAAAAAAAAAAGAUAUGGUGUUAAAUAUAAAAUAUGAACCAAACUCCAUGCCAAUUUUGCUAUAAAAAUUUACAGGUUUGAAAUAGAAAGUCAAAAUUGGUUUUGAUGGUGUUAGUUCUAUGUGUGACAGAGUGGACAAACCAAGGCUCUGGUACUUCUUACUCCCAAUUCUUUUCAAAUUCGCUACCAAUGAAACGUUUUGAAGCACUUUCAUCCAUAAAUCAUACCCUACUAAAAAAAACUCCUUUAGAAAGUUCGGAAAAUAAGUUUCUUAAAACUUGUGAAUGAGAUGAUGCAACGGUUUCUAAUGCCAGUAAUCCUGAUGAUUUCCGUGAAAAUAGUAUAGUUUCGAGCAGUAGAAGGUUCUUGACUGAAAGGCAGUCUUGGACAUCUGAUCAACAUUCAAUACCAGAUGCACCUUCAAAAUUGCACUAGAAAAUCAACAAGAAAUUCAGGAUAAUAGUAUUAACUUUGAGCCGGAAAAACUGAGAGUUGAACUCAGGCAUGUUCAUGGGAUGUAUGCAAUUGUGCAAAGCGAGUUCCUUGAUGCAUCUCGAAAGUAUAACUAGAACUUUGACCCAUACCGCGCGCUGCGGCGGCAACAUCGCGUUUGUGACUUUGUUACAUGCUGCGCACUGGGUUGUUUCUAAAAGAUCCGGUUUUCACGCAUGGACAAUUGUAUGUGGCGUUAUCAAGAGUUAAAAGCAGAGAUGGAGUUAAACUACUUAUAUUAAAUGAAGAUGGUCGUGUCACGAAUAAAACAACAAAUGUACAAAGAAGUAUUUAGAGAUUUAUGAAUUAUUAUUACAUUUGUUCUAUUUGUAAGUAUUUAUUUUCAUUACAAGUAUGUAUUCUUUUAA